UUCUAAAGAAAAUUCUAACAGAAAUAUAAAAUGCAAAAUAUCUCUUUCUUGGAUUUUUGAUUUAUGAUACAUUUUUCAAAUACCAAAUACGAAAUAAUAACAAAAGACUCGAUAAACUUAACUAGACUAUGAUAGACUCUAGCAUCAACUAAAUGACUGAACACUACUAUACAACACUAGAAAGUAAAACAUGAACAAUAGACUCAAAAAAAAAAAAAUCCUCAGGCAGCUCCUUAAUGCAGUAGUCCUGGGAUAUCUGUCAUGCUCAAACUCCGGUAAGUAGAUCCACACCUGUAUGACAAAACUGAAACCAACACUCUGUGAGACAAUAACAUUCCAUAUUAGACACAUGCAAGACAUGGUUGUGACUAUUUUUCUAAAAUUAACCUAUGUGGCUAAAAGUGGCUAAAAAUGCAAGAUUUGGCUAAGACCCUGCGAAGCCAAGAACCUAAACUCACUAGGAAGACCGGACCCUAUGUGGGUUGCCUAUGUAUCACGCCCCAAAAGACGAGAAUCAGGUAUGCGUAGUUCAGGCAGAUUGGAUACGGUUGAGAAUUAAAAAAAUAGUUUAUUCGGAAAAAAUAAUAUUUUUUAUCUUUCGUUUUGAAAAAUGAUGAAACAUGUAAACUCUUUUUGGAUUUUCUUUUCUUUUUUUUUUGAUUUUCAGAAAAUGAUGAAAAGUGCAAAAUCUUUUUUUUUUUUUUGAAUUUUUCAUGUUUUUUUUUUGUCUUUUUCUUAACAAAAAUGUGGUAGAAAACAUAAUUGGGUCCUACUUGCUUUAUUUUCAUACUUCACCCUCUCUCUUUUUUCUUUUUCAUUUGUCCUCAACUAUCAUUGAUCUGCCAAAUAACCCUCUUACCCUUGAAGAUUGCAACAAUGUAGCACAUAAGAUGCAUCUGGAUGGUCUUUUAUUUUUGGGUACACCUGUCUUAGAUGGACAUAACACUUGUGUUGACUCCCCAAAGUCAAAUGCAUAUGAUGUAGAAAAGCAUUUCUACUACGGAUGCGGCAUGAGGUUGAGUUAUUCUAUGUUCAAAACUUGGGUAUGUUGUUCUAGACUUGUGUACCCGAGCGGACAACUUGAGCCGGGAGGAGGGGGCUACGUACCGGGAACCAAAAGGCCAUCCGAUUUUGUAACUUGUCCGAGCCUAUUCCUAAUUUAAGGUAUGACACUAACAGAAGAGGAGUCACACCAGCGUGCACAUCCCUGAAGAUGAGAAAAGAAGGGUUUCGUAGAAGUUUAUAUACAGUUCAGAUAAUAUGAAAGCGGUAAAAGCAAAAUUUAGCACAUUAGGCCCAAACAUGUAAUUAAAACCAGAUAAUAAAUAAAAGCCAAAUAUAACAAUUAUUCUAAGCUCGAAUUCUUGAAUCCUGAACAAGAGAUUCUGGGUUCGAUCCCCAGCAAAGUCGCUAGAGCUAUCACACCUCCUUUUUCACACCCCGAAAUCCAAUUUAAGUGACAAUCGAAAUGAGAUUAUUUUAUUUAAAAUUCAGAGUUGCCACUUGGGAUAAUUUUUGGUGUCCCAAGUCACCGGUUUAAAUCCCAAAUCGAGGAAAGGUUGACUCUGUUUUACAGUCCGUGAACACAAAAAUUCGGGUAAGGAAUUCUGUUAACCCGAGAGAAGGUGUUAGGCAUUCCCGGGUUCCGUGAUUUUAGCACGGUCCCUCAACUGUUAUUAUUGGCCUAUUUAUUUGAUUUUAAAAUAACUUUGAAACCUAUGUGCAUUUUUAAUCCUUUUAACCGCUUUUAAUAAUCCGAUUUUUAUACAACUAAUUACUUGAUUAUACGUCGCGAAUCGUGUCACGGGAACCGUAUCCAUGAUCCACAACAUGUUUAUUUUAUUAACAAGAUUAAAUUGUGGUCGGGUCACAUAAAUGUACCCCCGAUUUUAGAAAUUAAGUGUCAUAACCACGUCAUGGGAACCAUACCCGUAGCUACAAUAAUUUAUUUAAUUAAUGCGCCUAAAGCAAACUAUGAGAUUUCAAGGCAUUUUCUACACUAAUUAUGAUAUCGAUGUGAGGGCCAUAGACUAGGUGAUUGUAUGGCACACCUCAACUUAUUUAAAGAAAAAGAUUUGUGCUCAAAUUAAAGCGAAUUACGGGUAUUCAUACUAAAAAAAUUAAUUCAAGAUUAGGUAUCACAACCACGCUAUGGGAACCAUACCCGUAAUUGUGAUGAUUUAAUUACGUGCAUAAGAAAACUACAAAGUUCGUAAUUCUAUUAUCUUAAAAUGAUUAUACCUUAGCCACGAGAGUCAGGAAGGUGCACAACCGAAUGCCUCCUUUUAAGUUUUCAAUCCUAAAGCACAAUUUUAAACUUAAGGAAAACACAAACCCAAGAAAAACUAGAGAGACUUGUCUUUCAAUUCAAACGAAAAUGUAGCUGACUCUCAAAGCCAAAAAAAAAAACAAACAAACAAACUAAAUAGAAUUUUGCACAACCAGUUCUGCUUUCUGGUUUUCUUAUCCGGAAAAUGGCGUGCCCUUUCUACUCUACAACCCCAAAGAAUUAAACAGAAUUCCAUGGUUUUUGAUUAAAAGGGAAUCAAACUUUCUUAUAAAAACAGUACUUAUUCAAUAGAAGCAAUAAUAAUUUCGUAAUUGUGAUUUCAUUUUUAAGCUAUUGAAUGAACUAUUAAUCACAGAUCUUGAAAUCUCAAGUUACUACAAAGAAAUAUCUCAAACAUGGACAAAAUUUGAUAGCAUAUGGAUAAGCGAGGCUCACCUCUAUUAUAGACCAGCUAACCGCUAGAGAACUAACAAGUAAAUGAGUCUGGACCUCAAACUAGACCGACUCACCGGAUCUUUUGACGGAACUCGGUUACUCGACUAAUUUUCGCUAGAGUUUGGUCCUCCACUAUUGUAGGAAUUUUUUGGACUAAACCGCGUUGUAGGAAUUUUCUCUUUUCUUAAGAGUUGUCAGAAUUUGUGGUCCUUUUUGGCUGGAAAUCUUCAGGUGUGUCCUUGAAGUGUAGAAAAAGAUGAAAUUUAGCAGGGGAUCUCUUGCUGUGUGUGUUUUCAGCGUGAGUGUGCGUGUUUUGUGAAGAAGAUAACCGGUAGUGAUGGGUCGUUAGUUUCAAUGGUGGUCGACGAUGGGGUGGCUUGGAGGGAUGGCUCGCUAGUGUGAGAUGGAGGUUUCCGGCGAACUGUGGUGGCUGGUUUAGCGUAGGAGAUCAGGGGUCCAAGUCUGGUUGGGUGGUGCGAAGAAGGAGACGUGAGAGGUGGGGCUAGGUCUGCGGUUGUCUGCUAUGUCUGCGGUUGUCCGCUUUUUUUUGUCCUAGGUCUCUUUUUUUAGCUUCUCUCCCUUCAUUUUCAG
rnacentral:lncRNA from 1 species